CCUUUACCUCAGGCAGAAAAAUGUCCUGACCCAUCUACACCAGUGGGUGUGCAAUGUCAUUUGUCCAGAUAUCCACGGAGCCAAUGGAGAGAUGAAGAAAGCUGAAUUCUGCUUGAAGAAAAGUUUGACCUAUGAUGAGGAAAACAACCGCAGCAAAUCCAAAGAUCAGUCAGUGAUGUUUGUGAAGAUCUCUGGACUAGAGCCUCAGCUAAGGAAAGGAAAACACAGCAGGUUGUCAGCCAGCCUAGAUUAAAAAGAAAAAAGGAAGAAGCAGAAGAAGCAGAAGCAGCUGCAGCAAUGGCAGGAGUGAAAUCGAUCAUGACAAAAUGGACAGGCCUGCUCUUAUCUCACACCAGGAAAGGUGGAAAGAGGAAAAAAGCAUCCUGAAGAAGCAGACAACAAAGACACAGCGGCAUUCCCAAACUCUCCAAAUGUUCUGGGUUACAGUACCCAUCAUUACCAACUAUUGCCAUGGGGCAAUAAGGAAAAAGUCUGACACAUGUAGACAACACCAUGCUAGAAAAGGCAGAUAUGCAGGAUACUAAAUGUCAGGAUUCUGCCUGUUUGGAGCCUUUAUGUUUAAAUUUA
rnacentral:lncRNA from 1 species